rnacentral:sRNA from 1 species
UAUGUAAUUAUUUAACUUCCACAUAUAUUUUAGGAAUUAGAGCAUUUUUCCGGGACCUAUGUUCGAGAACUUUACAGACAAGUCGCGUUCAAAUUCUCAAACAGAACAUAGUUUUAAUCAUCUGUAACUUGGAAAAGAUCUUUCCACCAUCAUUUUUCGAUGUUAUGGAACAUCUACCUAUCCAUCUCCCAUACGAAGCUGAAUUGGGUGGCCCUGUCCAAUAUAGGUGGAUGUAUCCAUUUGAGAGGUUUUUCAAAAAAUUGAAAGGAAAAGCAAAGAACAAAAGAUAUGCUGCAGGCUCAAUUGUUGAGUCAUAUAUCAAUGACGAGAUUGCUUAUUUUUCAGAGCACUACUUUGCCGAUCAUAUACAAACAAAAUCAAGGUAAAUACC